CCCUUAGAUGUCCUGGGCCGCACGCGCGUUACACUGAUGCAUUCAACGAGCCUAUAACCUUGGCCGAGAGGCCUGGGCAAUCUUGUUAACGUGCAUCGUGAUAGGGAUAGAUUAUUGAAAUUAUUAAUCUUGAACGAGGAAUUCCUAGUAAACGCAGAUCAUCAAUCUGCAUUGAUUACGUCCCUGCCCUUUGUACACACCGCCCGUCGCUCCUACCGAUUGGGUGUGCUGGUGAAAUGUUCGGAUCGGCCGUUUGUCGCGGUUUCCGCGUCAUGUGGCUGAGAAGUUCAUUAAACCCUCCCACCUAGAGGAAGGAGAAGUCGUAACA
rnacentral:rRNA from 1 species